UUUGAAGGCGUCAAAGACAAAUUGUUUACUGCAAAAAAUUUUAUUUAAUAUAAAGCUCAAAAAUACAGCUGUACCUUCACACAAUCCUUACACAAAUACAAACACACACAAAUACACACACACACACACUCAACACUCCCAUGCAUGCAAACACACGCCAGUCCGAGAUAUAACAAAUGAGUAUCGUUCAGUAACCAGUAUAGUGCCUGACGACGAGAACAGUUCUUCGUCUGCUAACGUUAAAGGAUCUGUCUGUCACAUUUUUCGUCGUGCUAAUGGCAGCAUUUGUCAUUUCUUUCAUCUUUGAAUCCAAAGCUCUAAAUGAUGAAAAAUUGGCGUCGUUCUUUGCCAGGAUGUUCAAAUGAAACCUCAUAUAUAAGAUCGUCUUUGAAAUGUCUGAAUAACCCGCAGUAACAAUGUUACAUAAACUGUUCGCUGGGUAUGACAGUUAUGGCUUUCCACCUCUCCUAGCUUCCAAAAACAAAUCUUGUUAACCAAUAGUCCAGAAAGCAAGAAAUCUUGUGUCGCAUUAAUCGCUACAAGUUGCUUCGCUGCGACAGCCCCGUCCAUGCUUUCGAA